UGGGGAAUAUUGCACAAUGGGGGAAACCCUGAUGCAGCGACGCCGCGUGAGUGAAGAAGUAUUUCGGUAUGUAAACCUCUGUCAGCAGGGAAGAACGGUCACUGUGCUAAUCAGCAGUGAAUUGACGGUACCUGCAAAGGAAGCACCGGCUAACUCCGUGCC
rnacentral:rRNA from 1 species